rnacentral:rRNA from 1 species
GACGAACGCUGGCGGCGUGCCUAAUACAUGCAAGUAGAACGCUGAAGGAGGAGCUUGCUUCUCUGGAUGAGUUGCGAACGGGUGAGUAACGCGUAGGUAACCUGCCUGGUAGCGGGGGAUAACGAUUGGAAACGAUAGCUAAUACCGCAUAAUAGUAGAUGUCGCAUGACAUUUGCUUAAAAGGUGCAAUUGCAUCACUACCAGAUGGACCUGCGUUGUAUUAGCUAGUUGGUGAGGUAACGGCUCACCAAGGCAACGAUACAUAGCCGACCUGGGAGGGGGGUCGGCCACACUGGGACGGAGACACGGCCCAGACUCCUACGGGAGGCAGCAGUAGGGAAUCUUCGGCAAUGGACGGAAGUCUGACCGAGCAACGCCGCGUGAGUGAAGAAGGUUGUCGGAUCGUAAAGCUCGGUUGUAAGAGAAGAACGAGUGUGAGAGUGGAAAGUUCACACUGUGACGGUAUCUUACCAGAAAGGGACGGCUAACUACGUG